CAGUCGCCGCGGUAAUACGAAGGGUGCAAGCGUUACUCGGAAUUACUGGGCGUAAAGCGUGCGUAGGUGGUGGUUUAAGUCCGUUGUGAAAGCCCUGGGCUCAACCUGGGAAUUGCAGUGGAUACUGGGUCACUAGAGUGUGGUAGAGGAUAGUGGAAUUUCCGGUGUAGCAGUGAAAUGCGUAGAGAUCGGAAGGAACAUCUGUGGCGGAGGCGACUAUCUGGGCCAACACUGACACUGAGGCACGAAAGCGUGGGGAGCAAACCGGAUUAGAUACCCCUGUAGUCCCUGUCUCUUAUAC
rnacentral:rRNA from 1 species